GAUGUGUUAUCCCGGAGAGAAGUGAGGCCAGUGAGGUCUCUCCCAUGGGCACAUUCCCUGCAGAACCCCUUCCAGAGCACAGCAGAGGCCUGGCCCUUGGGCUGGGAUCAGUUUGGCCAGAGGGGGGUGACCUCCUUUGGCCAGGGACACGUCCUGCUCUAGCAGGGGGUGUUCCUCGCAAUUGGUAACGAUUUCAAAGACAUAGCACAUCAAUUCUGGGAUUUCCUUUCCUUUCUUUGAACACUAAAGGAGGAAUCUCAACCUGGGUUUAGGUACAGUGACAAAAGGCAAAAACCUUUCUGCAGGUGAGUGCCAGUCCUUGCCCACAGUGCCUGGAAACUAAACCCUGCCAAGCAGGAAGGAGAUCCAGAGGUCUGUCAUGCAUGCGGGCCUGCUGCUGUCAGAUGGAGCAAUCCCACCUGUCCAUAAAUUCCCAUUUCCAAAGGCCUCCAGCCAGUCCUUUGUUAUAUUGCCCAUCCCUACACAGAUUCCCGGGAUCCCAGGGUGCAGAGAUGUCCCAGCAGUGGGCUUUUUCCAGCCUGGAGAACAGCCUGGAGUAGAGGAAACCAAAAACCAACCAGAAGAAGCCUCAAAAAGAAACCCUCAAGAAGAGACUUUAAAACAGAGGAUUUGCUUGUCCUCAGGCAGGAUGGGGUCCUCAGGUCUCCCCAUCAAGCGAGCAAUGUCAGUGUCCCACUGACACCAAUCCUUUUCUACAGGAAAGAGAAAUGAGGAGGAGACCACAAAUGCCGUGGAAUCUAGGACAGAUGAAACCUCUCAGGAGCUCAUAAAAACAAUGAAAGCCUUGCAGGAAUAUCUCAAAGAAUCACAGGAGUCCGGACAGUGUGAGUGUCAGCACAGCAGAGCACAGCUGGAGGGGAACCGAGGUGAGCAGGGCCAUUGCCAAACAGACUUUUUUGUGCUGGGAGCUCUCUCAUUGCCUGAGACUUGCCAAGGGUCCCCCCUUGAAGUGCUGUCCCCGUCCCUCUCCCUUUCCCCACCGCCCUUCUCCUGCUCCCCCAGCGCUGGUCCCAUGCUGGGGCACAUGUGAGCUCAGCCUUGUUUCCCUGGUGAGGAUCUGCAGGGAGAGGAGCUUCCCUGGGCAGAGCCUGGAUGUGUCUGUGAGAGCAGAGACCUCUGCCAGGGACAUGAAACCAGAGCCUUUGGGUAUCCUCGUGUCAGAGAGCUUGUCUGCCCCUCAAGGAGGAAUCAUUAGUGACCCAGUGGCAUUCUUCUUUCUUCACAGGACAGAAUGAGGGGGAAAUUUCAAGUGCCACGACGAUUAGAAAUUUCCAGCAGCUCUCACAAAGACUUGAAAGUCUGGAAGAACGUUUACAGCAAAUGGUGGAGUCAUCAUAGCACGGGUUUCAGCUUCUCAGAGCAGACCAGGAGAAGUAACAAGGUGAGCAGGGCCAUGAUUAAGCAGACUUCCGUCUCUCUGAAGGCAAAAUCUGCUCUACAGGCCAACCACCCUGUGAGCUCCUGCUGCUCAGCUGCUCAGAGGGGAUGGGGAGGGACAGUCUUUACGUGGGUAAAUGCCCAAAGAACCUGACUGUAGUCAUGGGAUGCAGCAGCACAAUCCAUCCUGCAACUGAAGUCAGGUUUUCUGAGCCUCUCAGCAUUUGUGAUCUGUGCCCCGGAAACUCUUCUGUGCUGAAGUAUUCUCUGCAGGUUCUCAAAGCCCUUUUUGGCCCUCUUGUCUAUGGAGAGUGUGUGUAGGUAUGGCCUCACAUGACCUGAGAUGUGGUAAGAGGGUCCAAAUCCCGCUGCCCACUCACCUUCCUCAUGACAGAGUGUUGUCUCCCUCAGAUUCUGUCUGGGGAGAUGGAGAGAGGUGAUCCCUGCUCUCCAUCCUGCCCCCCAGGCCUUUGCCAAAGCCUCAGGAAUACCCACAGGGCCUGUGAUCUUUCCCCACCCUGCUGCAGUCCAUCCAUCCAAAGCAAUUCAAAGAACCUGGUAAGGAAAGUAGCUCUGCAGAGAAGGACCUGGGAGUUGUGGUGGACAAAGAGCUGUCCAAGAGUCAGCAAUGUGUCUUUGUGGCCAGGAAGGCCAAUGAGUGCCUGGGCUGCCUUGGGAAGAGCUUUGCCAACCUCCAAGGGAGGGGCAGCCCUAGUGGGGCACAUCUGGAGCUCUGUGUCCCGUGCUGAGUUCCUCAGUACAAGAGAAACGUGGAGCUCUGGGAUAGGCCCAGCUGAGGAACUACAAAGAUGAUCACAGGCCUGGAGCAUCCCUCUGGUGAGGAGAGGCUGAAGGAACCGGGCCUGUUUGGUCUGGAGAAGAAAAGGCUAAGGAGGGGGUGCCAUCAAUGGGCAGAAGUGUUUGAAGGUGGAUGUCAGGAGGAUGGAGCUGGGCUCUUCUUGGUGGUGCUG
rnacentral:lncRNA from 1 species